CCUCAGUGAUGAACAACAAAGAUGACGAGUCUGAUUGAAAUCCAUUCAAUUUAAAUCGUGAGGACAAUACGAGGCAUUUGUCUGAGAGGA
rfam:Nicotiana sylvestris Nsyl_contig62163, whole genome shotgun sequence.